rnacentral:rRNA from 1 species
GAUCAUGGCUCAGAACGAACGCUGGCGGCGCGUCUUAAGCAUGCAAGUCGAGCGUGAUUGGUUAGCUUGCUAAUCAUGAAAGCGGCGGACUGGUGAGUAACGCGUGGGUGACGUACCCUUUGAUGGGGAUAGCUCCUAGAAAUAGGAGAUAAUACCGAAUACGCUUGGUGUUGUCAGAGGACAUCAAGGAAAGGUUCUUUUGAACCGCAGAAGGAGCGGCCCGCGUACUAUUAGCUAGUUGGUGAGGUAACGGCCCACCAAGGCGACGAUAGUUACCCGGCCUGAGAGGGUGAACGGGCACAUUGGGACUGAGAUACGGCCCAGACUCCUACGGGAGGCAGCAGCUAAGAAUAUUCCGCAAUGCACGAAAGUGUGACGGAGCGACGCCGCGUGGAACCGAUGAAGGCCGGAAGGUUGUAAAAGUCCUUUUUAAUAUGAGGAAUAAGUAAGGUGAGAGAAACGCCUUAUGGUGACUGUAGUAUUAGAAUAAGGGGCGGCUAAUUACGUGCCAGCCGCUGC